GGUCAUGAUCAAGUGGAUGGUAAGAUCAUGAUCAAGUGGACGUUUAAAAGGGAAGGAUCUUAUCUGGGUGCGUGUGGUGCUAGUUGUGCAAGCGUUUUCUACAUUUGGCAAAGCAAAUUGUAGUUGUCAUUCGUAUAAAUAAUGUGACAGUCUUCAAGUAAUUCCGUUUAGAGUGGAGUGGGCGACAACAAGUGUAUAGUUGCAAAGAAACAAAUGUAAAUUACUCUCGGGGAUGCGAGGAAACUCCUUCGAUGAUCAAGUCAGAAUUUGUCCGUGAAGGUUUUAGAGAGAAAAUAAGUGUUCAUCAUGUACCUACAGGCUGCGGCAUGUAUCAAAUGGACAUUUAUAGUAGUACUGUAUAUUCUUCUGACAAAGUUGUCUAAUUAAUCUUUGUCCCGUGUAUGGUUGUGAUAAGUUCUGAUCGAAUUGCGAAAUAUUCUCUUAUUGUUUUUUUUAUUAGGUGAUUGCAUGCAUUGUCGUCGACUACUUUUUGGGAUUGAAUUAUAUCAUUGUAUAACGAUCGCGUCUUGGUGUGGUGCUCGCGAACAAGUAUCUAUAGGUGGCAAUCCGGUCUAGUUGGAUCAGGUUCAGGUCGAUCUAAUUUAUAUUUCGGUUAUAUUGUUAAGUUGUAGUAUUUUAUUAUUGAACUCUUGACUAUGUUCAUGAAAUUUGUAAAAGAUUUUUGGGGGAAGAUAAGGUUUAAUCUAUAUUAUAAGAUAAUUAAAUAAA